UCUCCGUUGGUGAACCAGCGGAGGGAUCAUUACAGAGUUUUCACAACUCCCAACCCUUGCGAACCGUACCCAUUCUGUUCUCGUUGCUUCCGGCGGGGGGGACGGGGGGGCCCGAAAGGGCCUCCCCGCCCCGCCCGCCGGGGGAGGAGGGACGGACGAACCGUUAUAUGGCAACCACCAGAAAACAGAGGAGAAAAAAAAAAAAAUAAGACAAACUUUAAACAACGGAGCUCUUGGCUCGGGCAGCAAGGAAGAACGCAGCAGAUCGGAGAAGCAGAC
rnacentral:misc_RNA from 1 species